GAUGAACGCUAGCGGCAGGCCUAAUACAUGCAAGUCGAACGGUGUCUUCGGACAUAGUGGCGCACGGGUGCGUAACACGUAUGCAACCUACCUUACAUUGGGGGAUAGCCUUUCGAAAGGGAGAUUAAUACCGCAUAAGACAGUAGCUGGGCAUCCAGCAGCUGUUAAAGAUUUAUCGAUGUAAGCUGGGCAUGCGUCCAAUUAGCUAGUUGGUGAGGUAACGGCUCACCAAGGCAAUGAUUGGUAGGGGAACUGAGAGGUCAAUCCCCCACACUGGCACUGGGAUACGGGCCAGACUCCUACGGGAGGCAGCAGUAGGGAAUAUUGGGCAAUGGACGCAAGUCUGACCCAGCCAUGCCGCGUGCAGGAUGAAGGCGUUAUGCGUUGUAAACUGCUUUUAUACAGGAAGAAACGACUCUUGCGAGAGGCAUUGACGGUACUGUAUGAAUAAGCACCGGCUAACUCCGUGCCAGCAGCCGCCGUAAAAC
rnacentral:rRNA from 1 species